rnacentral:lncRNA from 1 species
GGAAUGAGCAAUGACCGAAACUAUAUACUUAACUAUUCGAAUAAAACUUUUAAUUCUUGUCAAACUACAAGACUUUCAUGCAAAGGUUCGAAGAUCCGUAUUUGAACCCUCAUACUGAUUCGUAUAUAAUAUUUAAUAAGUCUAAGAUUCUUAAUCAUCCAAAUUCCGACAAGAAAGGAGACUUCCAAACUCGAAACUGAUACGUUUUGUAUUGGUAAAACUUACAUUGGAUGAAGACCUUCGAUGACGAGAAUCUUGGGAGGCUGAAUAAGCUCAGGUGCGUCGAGAAGUCCUGUGACGUGAUUAUAAAUAGGUUUCUCGACGGCGAUGCCACUCUUGAGAGCUUUGACUUGCUCAUACAUGUUUUUUUUAAUUCGAAUGGUUUAUUGGCAUGAAGACAAUGUUGCUAUAUAUUUUGGUGAUAUCAAACUCCCCAGUUUUGAUUCUAUGGUCAGAUACGCAGUGCUAUUGUGUUUAAAUCGAUUUUUAUAAUCAACAUUAGACCUCUUUUAUUCAUAUGAACUUCUUCAAUUUGAGGUUAUAUGGUGAGAAGAUACGAAGUAAUAAACUUGGUAAUUAUAAUUAUAAGCUCGAAAUAGGUUCAGUUAAUGAAGUAUUAAAGGUGAAAUUAAACAACUAAUCAAUCUUAAGUCAGUAAUAAUAGUUGGUUUUAUGCAUAAACGUUAGAAAAGUGAAGUGCAGUGAUCCUUCAAUACCUGCCUCGCGAGAUCAAACGCUCCACUGUUCUUAUAGAUCAAAUACAUAUUGUGAGCAGCCUCUUUACGUAGGUCACAAUUAACAGGUUUACGCUCUUCUGCAACAUUUGGAUCUUCAUUCGGAAGUUCUGGUAUUGGAUAUUCUUUCUCAUAAAACCGCUAUAACCUUCUCGUAGCACGAAGCACAAGUCCUACGUGAUGAUACUCCUGAGCAACGUUAUACAACGCCACUUGGCUGUUACUGCAGAUUCUGAGAUUGUUGUAUAGACAUGCAUCUUGAGUCGGAAACCGAGAGUUAAGUUGAUUAAAGCAGCUCCGGAAAAAAAAGAUGGAGAAGGUGAAACUUUAUACUACUUUUUAAACCCUGACCGAAAAAAAAUCGCGUAUAGAAAGCUCUCUCUAACGUGGAAUGUUUUAGUUAAUUGCAUGUACCAAUCAAUCACAAUCACACAAGGGUUUCGUGGUGUAGUUGGUUAUCACGUCAGUCUAACACACUGAAGGUCUCCAGUUCGAACCUGGACGAAGCCAUUAUUUUAUUUUUCUUUAACAAAACGAAAAUACUCAAAUUUCGUAUUAACAAAAAUAAUCGCCGUUGCCGGGGAUCGAACCCGGGUCACCCGCGUGACAGGCGGGAAUACUUACCACUAUACUACAACGACCUUGUUGUUUGCUAAUCAGACUUUUAUAUUUAUUUUCUAUAACGUGAGUUUCUCUAAGGUUCUGUUCUGUACGUGGUUAUUGCUGUUGAUGAUAAUGUGGCUUUCCAUAUUUGUAGAUGAGCUAAAGAAUUAUUUCUGUGUAAAUGGUGACAUAAUUGAGAAUCAGUUUAUGUAUGAUCACCACACUGGAAAGUCAAGAGGGUUUGGUUUUGUAACCUAUCUGACUGAAGAUUCUGUGGACAAACUUUUCUCUGAUGAGAAAAGUUCAUGAGUUCAGUAACAAACAGGUAACCCUUUCUUUUACUUAUGUUUUCAAGUUUAAGCUAAAGAACCGUAGUAUAUCUCAAGCACUUACAAUGGCUCAAUCGGUCGAUAUAAAAAGGGCUGAACCAAAGAAAACCGGAGGAGAUAACAGCUUUAGCUCCUACGGUGCUAGUGGAAAGUAUGAUCAGGAAGAUUGUUAUGGUGGGAAAGAAAAUGGAGAUAACAUUAUGUAUUCGGGUAAUGGGGAUUAUAUUGGUUUUGGAGCUUAUGACGUCUUCAUUAGUCUUAACUCUUAACGUUGCAUAUACGUUUAUUCCAAGCAGUACCGGACUAACAUUUUUCACUGCCCCAAUCAAAAUUUAAAAUUAUGCCUUUGUGCAUAUUUUAUCAAAAUCAUAAAACAGUAUAAAACAAUUUUAAUUUUUAUUAAAUAGAAAUAGAAGUCUAUAGUUUGUUCAGGAAAUAAAACUGUGAUAAAAAUAUUUAUUGGUAAAAUUAAUUUUGUUUUUUAUUUUUUUAUGCAAAAUUAUCCACUAGAUUUCUACAGUCAUUUUUUUCAACCAUCCAUUAUAUGUCUAUCAUAAAAAUCAGUAAACACAAUCCAUAAAUAUUAUCGUAAUAAAGUGAAGCUAUCAAGCUUUUAUCACAUUUCGAAAACUAUGAACUAACAAACAUAUCUUCUUACUACGUAAAGGAUUAGUUGAAAAAACUGAAACAUUAAAACUAAACUAUAUAUUAAGGGUUAAGAGAAAAGAGGACAAAAAAAAAUUAGAAUAAAAUAAAAUUAUGCAAAACGAUGCAAAAGAAUAAAUUGAAACCAAAAGAAAAUCUGUUUUGUUGCUAAUUUUAAUUAGAGUUUGAAUUAUCAUCUAAAAUAGAAAUUUACUAAUAUAUUUAAUAUAUAACAAAUUUAUAAAUAUAGUUGAAAAGUUCAAAAAAUUUUAUAUAAAAAUGCCUUAUAAAUAAUAUUUUAACAAAAAAAAUUACAAAAAUUUAUUUGUUUAUAGGUAAUAAUACGAAUAUUUUUUUAAAAAUAUGCCCUAUUAUUUUGGAUGCCCUAAUCCACGGCUUGGGUGGCUUACCCUCCGGGCCGGCCCUGAAAGCUAGUAAGGGCUCUUCUUCAAAAAUAUAUUGGUAAUAUAUAUCUCUUUUUCAGUUCAAAAAAAUAUAUAUAUAUAUCUUUUGCAGAUAGCCAAGGUGAUAAAAAUAUUUAGAUGUAUUUCCUUUUUGAAGAAAAUAUAUCUUUUUUCCCUUGAAUGUUUCAUGCAGUUGUGGAUUUCUCUCUGAUCCAGAAGGCAUCAAAGGCAAGUUUUUACCAGUGCACUUCUGUAACUCGAAAUCAAUAUGUAUCUAUGUUAGAUACGUACUAAAAUACAUGAGUAUGAUCAACAGGAAGAAACCUUAAUUCAUUCUUUUGCUUAAAGGUUGAUUUUCGGUUUUAAUCUACUUUUAUCAAUAGAUACUUUUAUCAAUAGAUAAAAGCAUUGUACUAACUUAAUUGUUAUUGCUCUGCUAAUAAAUUUUCUACAUUACAUGCUUUUCUUUUUAUAUCUCCACACAAAUUACAAACAUGCAACACCGUCCUUUUCUCCAUGAAAAUCCGCGGAAACAAAGCAUAAAGAAAGAAAGAAGAAGAAACAACCAAUGGGUUUAUCGACGCGUUCUGUUUUGCUUAUUUGUUUUAGGCUUUAGCAGCUUCUGUAGGAGCAUUGGCUUUGUUGGCAAUGAGCUGCUCAUAGAGAUCUCUGAUUUUCAAUCCAACAAUGGUCUGGAAAAGACCAGUUCCGUUGUUGCUACCAGGGAAGUCAGCAUGUUUGAGCAUUUGUUGAGUCACUUCACCGUAGAAUUUGGUCGAGAGGUUGCUCAGAUGGCUCUCCACGUAAAUCAGCUCGUCAAGUCUAUCGAAUUGCCCAUCCAUCUCCACAACAGAAACCUGAAAGAAAGAACAAAUGUUCAAACCAAGAUCUAAAGAAACUUAAACUUAACUCAUUCUGCAACCUAAAGAGACAAAUGAAUGCACCUCAUUGUCGAAGUAGGAAUCAGGUUGGUAGUUGAACUUGAUGCCAGGGUAGGAGCAGGUGAGUUUGCGACCACAAGGGAUCCACGAGAUGGUUGAACCUUCAUCGAAUAGGUAAACCGGGCUGAAGUACUUAACACCUUCUUUCAUUAUCAAUCUCACUCUCAACACUUUGCCUUCAUUAUCAUCUGGAAUCAACUGCGUUGGAAGCACUUCUAUCACCGCAUCCGCGUACUGCUUUUGUGGGUCUGUAUAAGCCAUUCAUAGAUUGUUAAACCAGAUGAGUUAAUAUUCUAGGGAAAUAUAAAACAUAAACUAUAAUUAUACCGAUGAAUGCAUCGAAAUCGGGCUUUCGUGCUUCGAUACUUGCUUUGAUGCUCUCUAAACUGUGACCUCUCUCAGCCAUGUCCCUCUAUUAUCAUCAAACCGUUACAAAAGUCCAUAUCAACGACACAUUAACGGUAACGGUCGAGUGAAAUGAAAUAUGUAUAUAGAUAAAGAAACACACCUGGAUUUUCCAAGCGAAUUUGACCUCAUUGCUAAUGUCUAGGUAGAUACUGAAGUCCAACAAGUCUCUUACUCUCUCAUCAAACCUUCACAAGUAGAUAAAACAUUAUUAUAAAAUAUUGGAAUGAGCAAUGACCGAAACUAUAUACUUAACUAUUCGAAUAAAACUUUUAAUUCUUGUCAAACUACAAGACUUUCAUGCAAAGGUUCGAAGAUCCGUAUUUGAACCCUCAUACUGAUUCGUAUAUAAUAUUUAAUAAGUCUAAGAUUCUUAAUCAUCCAAAUUCCGACAAGAAAGGAGACUUCCAAACUCGAAACUGAUACGUUUUGUAUUGGUAAAACUUACAUUGGAUGAAGACCUUCGAUGACGAGAAUCUUGGGAGGCUGAAUAAGCUCAGGUGCGUCGAGAAGUCCUGUGACGUGAUUAUAAAUAGGUUUCUCGACGGCGAUGCCACUCUUGAGAGCUUUGACUUGCUCAUACAUGAGAUCAAAGUCAUUGGCGCGUGGGUCCAAAGCAGUGACUCCUUUCUCUUUGCGACCGGUCCUGUCCAACGAAUGGUAAUCGUCGAGACAGAUCACAGUGGUCAUGUCACUGAUGAGUGUGUUGGAGUCAGGGUUCCCUCCUUUUGGUGGCUCAGCGGCUCCACCGAAGACACUGGUUAGCCUCCGCAUGAAAGUACUUUUGCCGCAUCCAGAGUCGGCAGCGAGUCCGAUCACGACGGUUUGUUGUGCGGCGCAAGUGAUGAUGGUGUUGAAUCUACGGUUGGUUUGACGACGGUAGAAGAAGACUUGCUUUGAAGAGGAAGAAGGGGAAGAGGUUAAGAAAUGAGUUGAGUUAAGAGCUUGUGUUGAGUAGAUUGUUGAGACAGCCAUUGUUGCUUGAUGUUUGGUUCCUCUUCCUCUUCUUCUCCGCCUAAGCACUCUGUUUUGAGUGAUGAGGAUUAGGAUAGAAUGAGAGAAUGUGGGUAACGAUUUUUGAUUUUAUGGGUUAUUGUGUGGUGACAUAAAGAUGUUAUUUUCUUGAAAUAAAAAUAAAAUGAGGAAUGAGAGGAGGAAAAUGGGUUAUAGGAAUUAGUGGCAAUUUGUAAAGAAGAAAAUGAGCUUUGUUGUGACUAGAUGUGGUUGUGUAAUGAGUGGCUCAUGUUUUGAUUUUCUAAAUUAAACUAUACCUUGUGAUGUUAUUUUAGAUAAGUCUUUAGUUUAUCUGUUAAGAUAGUUGUUGAUAAGUAAACCAUUUCUAGCCUCAAAAAACAAGCAACAUCUAUCUUUACUUCAUGGUUCUUUUGGUAUGUCUUAAGUUAAGAUUUGCAUAAUGGCAUUUGUUUUUGAUUAAAAGAUUAAGAGACUAUUGGAUAUUUGAAGCCUCGGAGAGUGGAGUUGUGAUGAAGUGAUAAAACUAGAACGAGAGACACAUGAUGGUUAUUUACUGGUUUUUUGGGUUUCGGAUAUUUGUAUUGACACGUGGGGAAGGCUAAUUGGAAAAAUGCGGAUUAGGUGUUUACGGUCUGAAGUUGAAUGAGAGAGUGUAUCGUGUGGGUCCAUUGACACAUCCCUUAUAUCCCUUAAGCUUCAAAUCUGAAUGGUCUUAAGUUUUUUCAUUUAGCAUUAGUCCAAGAUCUUCUACUCGAGGCACUUAACAAAGGUGUUUGAAGCAUUGAACCACGAGCUAGCAAAGACCAUUAUAUAACGAGAACUGAAACCACUACAUUUUCAAUAUGCAUGCAUUUCACCGUGCCUUGUAAUAUCAAGUACGAACAUUAUUAAGGGUCAGCUAAAUAAACAAAAUAGGAGAGUUAAGCAAGUGUAAAUACUAUUCAACCAUGUGCCUUCUUUUUCUGCAGAUAGCAUUCAGACUGAAACAAAUGACAAGCAGUAGUUAAGGGUGCUACGGUUUUGUCUUAAUGUUUCACUUCUUCUAGAAAAUAUAACAAUAUAAAGUAAACACAUUAGAAAGAGCUUCUAAGAACCAACUAAAGUUAUACUAUCAUGACUAAAAAGUCAACGUUCACAUUCAAAAUCAAUCAUUUCAUGACAUUUCAGAAGUUUGCAGUUAUAGUUCUUGCUGAUUUACAAAGACUGUCAAAAGCUUUAAAAGUUCCUAAAUAUAUUCUAUUAAAUUAGGAACAUAACCAGUUAAUAUAUGUUUAAUUCAAUAUUAUUUUUCUCAGGACAUCUCCAGUACAUAACCUAUUUUAAUAUUAAAACUAUACUAUUUUAGUGUAAUUUCAGCACUAAAAAAAAUUAUUCUCCAACCAUAACACCAAACUUCACACUAAAAAAUAUUUUAUAAUAUUAUAUAUUUUUAUUUGUCAUUUAUUUAAUUAUCUAUUUUAUUAAAAAAAUAAGUAAAUACUAUUUUAGUAGGGUAAAUAGUAUUUUAGUGUGGUGAAUAGUAUCACACCAAAUUUGGUAUGAAAUUAUAGAGUUACACUAAAAUUAUGUGAUUUUUAUUGUUGGAUUGGAGAACAUUUUUGUGUCAAAAUCACAAUAAAACAGAGUUUUAGUGUUGGGUUGAAAAUGACCUCAUGACGUACUUAAAAAAUAAGGCAAUUAUCUCAAAUAGCUAUUUUUAAGUUUUUGUCAUAAAAACAACACUUAAGAAAUAAAAUAAUCAAAAUAGCCCUCUUUUAUUUUGAAAAUUUUAUUUUUUAUUUUUUAUUUUUUAAAAUUUGAAAUCCUAUCCCUAAAAUUCCACCCCUUAACUCUUAACCCUAAGUCUAAAUUAGUUAACACUAAAGUAAAAAUUCAUUUUUUACCCUUUACCCAAAAAAAAUUUGGUCAUUUUCUUCGUUGAGAGCUAUUUUUGUGACAAAAAUUAAAAAAUGACUAUCUUACAGAAUUUCUCUAAGAAAAUAACCGUAACUACUUUUUAUUAACCCUCUAUUUUAAUCCCAAAAAUCUCUGAGCCAGUUCAUUCAAAUUCAUACAUUAGUCUGCCAUUAUAUAUUGAGAAUAUUGAAACAUCCACUUUUAUUGAAUUCAUAAUAAAAGCAAACUAAACUUAAUGGCCACUAAAAUAAAUUAAGACGAUGAAUUGUAAAUAACAUAAAGCUGACGAGCUUUCAAGACUCAUUAAUUAUUUAUUAAUAAUUAUUAUUUAUAUUAGUUUAAUAGUUAUUAAAUUAAACCACUAAAAUAAAACCAAGUUGAAAUAACAAAUGAUUAAAUCAACAAAACCAUAAUGCAAAUCUGAAUUAUCUCAAAUCCUUAAAAAUGGUUCAAUUUAAAAUACAAAAUUAAUAAUAUAAACUAAAUUUAAUAAAAUUAUAGAAAAAAAUUAAAACACACAAAAAUGAAUUUUAUCAAUGCAAAAUGGGUUAAAAUAGAAAAUAUUUUAUUUAAAUUAAAAUAUUAAAAUAAAAUCAGUGUGAAAUAAGUUUAACAACAUGUUAAAUAAAUAAAAUUAUAAUAUGGGUCAGUAUUAUUUGGAGUCUUCAAAAAUUUAGUCUUGUUUAAAAUAACAAAAAUAAUUCAUAUAAAUAAAUUUAAGAUAAAUUUUUUUCACAAAAAAAUAAAAUAUAUAAUUUAUUAAUAAUCAUAAUUUUCACUACGUAAAAUAUUUACCUGUCUUUUGAAGGACGGAUCAGAAUCUAGUAUUUGCUUUAAAACUAACUAUCUACACAAACAGUCGAUAAAAAAUGAUUUGAACGUAAUUUUAACCAAAUAUAUUAUUCCGAGCAACAAAUUUAAAGUAAUGGUUGAAUGUGAUUGUUAAUAGCAAAGAGAAAAUGAUUCAUAUCUUAAUUAUUUGAUCUUUGAAAGUGUUGGACUCGUUGAGGCUCUACUAUGUUACAGAGGUUGAUUACGGAUCCACCUUUGAAACAUCAUGAAGCUUUCAUAUGGUUUAUACUCUGCAGUGUGCCCGCCUCCCUGCAAAAUUAAACCAAUUACAAAAUCUUUUAUCAAUUCUAACGUGUAACGACGAUAACAAAACAUGAGAUGAAAAACCAAAAAUAAUCACUUACUUUGAUAGUGGCAAAUGUCAUGUUGUUGACGUAACUCCUUGUGUAUCCAAUAACUUGAUUGUUAACAAACCAUGGCCUCCAUUGAUCAAUGAUCGAAUAGUUUAGAGAUCUAAUCCAAGCUACGGUUCCAACAUAAGGCACCAUCAUAUCAUGAUCGCCACUGUAAACCAAUGACCUAUAUAACCCUUUUCUGCUAAUGUUCAUAUGGUACGGUAGACUACUCUUUAUGUCUUUCUCAUAAGCCAUAUCCCAAUCGCAUCUCAUCCAUUUCCCUAUGCUUCCCUGAAAAAUUUACAUACAUUCAUUGAUUGAUAAAAUAUUAUAUGGUUGUUAGAUAAUAACAUGCAUGUAAUUAUGUAUAUAUGAAUGUAAAAUGACAUACUUUCUCCACACGAAGCGCUUUGCGUACAUCUUCAUCAUUAGCCCAAUAUGUAGCUAAAACAUAACGGUACAUCUGCACAUUUCAUCUCAGUGGUUUAUAACGACAUGAUUUCCACUGCAUAACUAAACCAAUCAUUUUCUUUAUUUUUUCCUUGGCUUACAUAGCAACCAGGAGUUGGAAGAUAAAGAUCUGACUGAACAAGUCUUUCGAGACUUCUUCUUCCAGCAUUCUCCAUUGAAAAUGGAUUUGGUGAAGCCAAAUCACACAAUGGUAUCAGAAUAGAACCUUCAUUUAUCCUUGAUACACACUGUCAUCAAUCAUCAUAAUCAGCAAUGCAAAAAGAAUUAAACUAGUCUUGGUUUAUUCACAUUUUUAUACUUUGUUUUACCUUAUCGUAGUCUUCCACCAAUUUCAAGCAUUGUGUAUUAGUGUGGUCUAUGUUUACAUAGUUUCCGUUGCAGCUUAUCUUAAGAGACUGAAAACAAGAGUUACAAGAAACUAGUUUAAUGAAAGUACUUACAUUAGGGUAUAGAAGAGACUAGGUAAGGCUUCAAUAUAUUAUAUACCUCAAAAAGUUCAUCAGAGAUCAGUCCCAUUCCAUGUGCAUAUGGAAUCUUGGCGUUAUGAUCUUUAUCAAGUUCUGUUGACGGAUUCCCAAGAACAUAGCCCUGUUGGUAAAAAUGAUGCUUUCAAACAAGGUUUACAUAUCUAUAAAGUUAUGAAUCAUAAUUUAUAAUGAAAAUAUAGUGAAGAUACUGAUCGUGAACCUUAAGAUUUAUCGGUUUGUUGCUAUUUUCAUUUCCUGCGUAACCAUAAUGUGUAAGAGCGUAAUAAGUGGCUAAGUAAAAUAAUAUCCAAAGAAGAUCAGAAGAUGGAUAAUGGAAAAAAAAACAACAAAAUCAAACCUAUUGAGAUCUGUUGAACAAUGGCUGGCACAACUAUACCAGCGUAAGAAUCCCCACCGACAUAGAGAGGAUUUGAGACAAACUCUGGAUGCUCCACUAACCACUACAACAACAACAAGGAUUGAAAAGAUUAUGAUAUACUUUUACUGAAGAGACAUAUGUUUAUGCAAUAUUGGAACCUUUUGGAGAAACUCAUAGGUCUGUUUUGCUUCUCCUGUGUCACUAGGCUUAUCAGCAAGAGGGGUUGUUGAGUAAGAGAAGCCAGUCCCAACAGGUUGGUCCAAGAAUAUUAUGCUUGCUACCUAAAAUAUAAUAACCAAAUAAAAAAUAUCAUGAAACCAGCAAAAAAAAACAAGAAUCGUAAUCUCUAAUCUAAGAUAGUCAAUAGGCGAUGGAUUUACCUUUGUCCAGGAAUAGGAAGUAGAGACAAGAGAAGGCAAACCUCCAUUGUAGCCUUCAGUCUUGAAAGUCAACGGCCCUGCACUUAAACCAAUAAGACUAACACACGAGUAGAAUCAAUUAAAAGUCAACUCUUAAAAGUUUUUUUCCCUCUUCAAACUACCAAUCUCGAAAGCAAGAGCAGAGAGAGCAGUGCAGGCAGG